rnacentral:rRNA from 1 species
GACGUAGGGUCCAAGCGUUUGUCCGGAUUUACUGGGCGUAAAGAGCGCGUAGGCGGCUCGUUAAGUGUGAAGUGAACAUCUCUAGGGCUCAACCCAGAAACUGCUUUACAUACUGGCGAGCUGGAGUGAUGAAGAGGUUUGUGGAAUUCCUGGUGUAGCGGUGAAAUGCGUUGAUAUCAGGAGGAACACCGAUGGCGAAGGCAGGUCUCUGGGCAUUAACUGACGCUGAGGCGCGAAAGCUAGGGGAGCAAACGGG